GGAUUCUGGCUCAGUGGUAGAGCGCUUGCCUCAAAUGUGUGAGGCACUGGGUUCAAGUCUCAGCACCA
rnacentral:tRNA from 1 species